rnacentral:tRNA from 1 species
GCCUUUUAAGCUAAAGAGAGGGGCGGUCAGCCCCCUUAAUGA